AACGAACGCUGGCGGCAUGCCUAACACAUGCAAGUCGAACGAGACCUUCGGGUCUAGUGGCGCACGGGUGCGUAACGCGUGGGAACCUGCCCUUAGGUUCGGAAUAACUCCCCGAAAGGGGUGCUAAUACCGGAUAAUGUCUUCGGACCAAAGAUUUAUCGCCUUUGGAUGGGCCCGCGUUGGAUUAGCUAGUUGGUAGGGUAAAAGCCUACCAAGGCGACGAUCCAUAGCUGGUCUGAGAGGAUGAUCAGCCACACUGGGACUGAGACACGGCCCAGACUCCUACGGGAGGCAGCAGUGGGGAAUAUUGGACAAUGGGCGAAAGCCUGAUCCAGCAAGGCCGCGUGAGUGAGGAAGGCCUUAGGGUUGUAAAGCUCUUUUACCCGGGAUGAUAAUGACAGUACCGGGAGAAUAAGCUCCGGCUAACUCCGU
rnacentral:rRNA from 1 species